rnacentral:rRNA from 1 species
GACGAACGCUGGCGGCGUGCCUAAUACAUGCAAGUAGAACGCUGAAGGAGGAGCUUGCUUCUCUGGAUGAGUUGCGAACGGGUGAGUAACGCGUAGGUAACCUGCCUGGUAGCGGGGGAUAACUAUUGGAAACGAUAGCUAAUACCGCAUAAUAUUGACUAUUGCAUGAUAGUCAGUUGAAAGGUGCAACUGCACCACUACCAGAUGGACCUGCGUUGUAUUAGCUAGUUGGUGGGGUAACGGCUCACCAAGGCGACGAUACAUAGCCGACCUGAGAGGGUGAUCGGCCACACUGGGACUGAGACACGGCCCAGACUCCUACGGGAGGCAGCAGUAGGGAAUCUUCGGCAAUGGACGGAAGGCUGACCGAGCAACGCCGCGUGAGUGAAGAAGGUUGUCGGAUCGUAAAGCUCUGUUGUAAGAGAAGAACGAGUGUGAGAGUGGAAAGCUCACACUGUGACGGUAUCUUACCAGAAAGGGACGGCUAACUACGUG